rnacentral:lncRNA from 1 species
UGGGGGUAGCUACGGAGAGAGCACACAGGACCUGGCAGGCAAAAGUCAGGAGCCAGGGGGCACCUGAGCAAGAAGCUGAGAAAGAUGUUCAGGAGGAGUCCGGAAGAGAAUUCAGAUACAGAGCCAAACAAGGUGGGAGACACACCAGCACGGGGCUGCGAGGCCCAGCAGCCUGGACACGGGCCAAGAAGUCAAGAACUGUUGACACCCACGUCUCCACUCUCCUACUGACACCAGCGACCACCCAGCCCAGCGCAACCAUAUGGCCUCUUGUUUUCCUGAUGUAUGAGUGUCACCGUCAGUGGUGGAGACAGAAGAUUGACCACCGUGGAGGGCCAUCAUUUCCAUCCGUUUCCUUCCAUGCUACCCAGCAAGCAGCAAAGGAAAUUAAAC